UAUUAAUUUAUUUUUAUUACCACAGUUAUAUUAACAAAAGUAUGUGUACAAAUUUAUUUAUGCCCACAAUGUGGUGUAAGGAAAAACACUUAUUCGGAGCACAUUUUCCAAUUUCAAGUCUGGAUUCUCUACAUCCUUUAAUCACAAUGUCAUAUAUGUUAAUAGAAUAGCAGUGUGUCAUAUGAAUCUCAAUUUUUUGAACAAGAAAAUGAAUUUGGGAUUUGAAUGAACAAAGUGAAGAUAUUGCUGAAAAUUAUGACAAGCACCAAGAGUUAACCACCAAAACACAGGACUCUGAAGAUAUCUUUACCAAGCAAUCUAUCUCUAUUAUUACAGAGGAACCCAAACAACCAUGUCAACAUAGUCAAAGUCAUUUGUCACCCACUGGCCACUAUACUGGGCUAUUGUUACAGUUUGACUUUGCAUCAAAUGUAUCACAUCAGCAAUCCUUUGUUGUUCAUGAUUAUAAUGCAAACAAAAGAACAAUUAUGCAUAAUUCAUUUGUAUUUGUACAUCGAUAUCCCCACCUAUUGCUUGAUGGCUAUGGUUGGAUAUUGUGCUGCUCAUGUGAUGCAAAUAGAAAGCAAUUUGUUGAUGCCCUACCUAAUAAUAUACAAUUAGAUCCUCAAAAAGAUAUACCAUAUCCUAGUUGCAUACACAUAUUAGCAAUGGAAAAAAUAUCUGGUUGUGUAUGAUAGAAAGUUUGGUAUUGAAGCCAAAGAUUUUAUUGAAAAAAAAUCCACAUCCAUGAUGCAGUCUGUUUUCAGUGAUCAUUCCUACCAUGAGAUGCAACCUGAAGAAGACUUGUUUAGUGCAGUUUGCAGGGAGGUUCAGUGGAUUGCUGUAAAACCAGUGAAUAGUCCA